ACGACGUUCUUGUCGGAGGAAAUGGACAGUGCUUCCACGGGAAGAACUACGAGUGGAAUCACGAAGAGAAGUACGCUCUUGCCGAGACAUACUACUGGGACAAUGAGACAGCGAAAAUAGUGAACCGGACUGUGUACUUAUACCCCGAAGCAACCGAAGGUUAUGAUGUGCCGAAUGCAAUGGCUUUCUCUCCCUUCAAAGACAAGCUGGUGUCCGUCUACUAUCCACUGGUGUUCUCAGAAUAUGAUAACUGCGACAUACUUCGUUCUCCAAGACAUGACAACGGCUGCGAGCUGUGGAUCACCCUACAGGGAGUGCGCAACAUUAGUAGCGCCUGCCUCUUCAUCUACGAUCUAUUAUGCGGCCCCAACAAGUUCCAGAUGUACGACGA
rnacentral:lncRNA from 1 species